AGAGGAUAUUGACACAGAGAUGUGAAAUGGAUCAAGUCCAUCAAAUUUAACGCUGCGUGCGAUUUUAACACACGUGCUAAAGUUUAGAGCUAUUUUUUUGAUAAAAUGGAUGACAAUGAAACAAAGUCUGAACCAUUUGCACCAAGUGAAUCAGAUUAUCAGCCAUCUGAAAGGCUGUUUUUCUUUCGUUUUAGAUAUCUGACAUGUUGAUCUGAAUAAAACUGCACGAGGAAGAAAAAUCUUAUCAUUUUAUAUAGACGUAACAUAACACACUCUAAAAGGCUGACACAUGAAGUAUCUUCUUCCCCUUAUCCCGCCUAUAUACCAUAAUUUUUAUAAAAAUCGAAGAAAACACUAUUAACAAAUCCCUUAAUGACGAAGAAGAAUGUACCGAUGGACCAUUUUAUAUCUAAAAUUUCU